GUACUUACUCCUACGGGAGGCAGCAGUGGGGAAUUUUGGACAAUGGGCGAAAGCCUGAUCCAGCAAUGCCGCGUGCAUGAUGAAGGCCUUCGGGUUGUAAACUGCUUUUGUACGGAACGAAAAGUCUCGGGAUAAUACCCUGGGACCAUGACGGUACCGUAAGAAUAAGCACCGGCUAACUACGUGCCAGCAGCCGCGGUAAUACGUAGGGUGCAAGCGUUAAUCGGAAUUACUGGGCGUAAAGCGUGCGCAGGCGGUUAUAUAAGACAGAUGUGAAAUCCCCGGGCUCAACCUGGGAACUGCAUUUGUGACUGUAUAGCUAGAGUACGGUAGAGGGGGAUGGAAUUCCGCGUGUAGCAGUGAAAUGCGUAGAUAUGCGGAGGAACACCGAUGGCGAAGGCAAUCCCCUGGACCUGUACUGACGCUCAUGCACGAAAGCGUGGGGAGCAAACAGGAUUAGAUACCCUUGUAGUCCAGGCAU
rnacentral:rRNA from 1 species